UGGCGAGCCAGCGGCCCUCGUCGAAGGGGAUGAGAGCACCAUUACCGUCGCGGUAGGGCAUGGCUAGGAUGCGAAUGACAGCCUUCUUGGGAGAGCCGUUGUUGUUCUGCACCUUGAUCUGGUAAGAGAACUCCUUGUGGUUGAGACGAGGUGUGGAGGCGUAGAUGUCGAAGAACUCGGUUUCAGUGUUGUUGUCAUUGAAAGCGUUGACCAAGUCCCACUUGUACUCCUCAAAGUAGGUUUCGAGGGUGCCCUGGAUCUGGACGUCGGUGACGGCAAUUCCGGUGAACUCGAGCUGUUCCUUGGUGUAAGGAGGAAGAGAGUCAAUGUGCUUCCUGAAGAUGUUGUCGAUGCGCUU